rnacentral:rRNA from 1 species
UACAGAGGGUGCUAGCGUUGUUCGGAAUUACUGGGCGUAAAGGGCGCGUAGGCGGUUUGAUAAGUCAGAUGUGAAAGCCCGGGGCUUAACCUCGGAAGUGCAUUUGAAACUGUCAGGCUAGAGUGUGGUAGAGGAUGGCGGAAUUCCCAGUGGAGAGGUGAAAUUCGUAGAUAUUGGGAGGAACACCGGUGGCGAAGGCGGCCAUCUGGGCCACAACUGACGCUGAGGCGCGAGAGCGUGGGUAGCAAACAGG